UAAACGACUCUCGGCAACGGAUAUCUCGGCUCUUGCAUCGAUGAAGAACGUAGCGAAUUGCGAUACUUGGUGUGAAUUGCAGAAUCCCGUGAACCAUCGAGUCUUUGAACGCAAGUUGCGCCUGAAGCCAUUAGGUUGAAGGCACGUCUGCCUGGGCGUCACGC
rnacentral:rRNA from 1 species